ACGGGUGAGUAACACGUGGACAACCUGCCUCAAGGCUGGGGAUAACAUUUGGAAACAGAUGCUAAUACCGAAUAAAACUUAGUGUCGCAUGACAAAAAGUUAAAAGGCGCUUCGGCGUCACCUAGAGAUGGAUCCGCGGUGCAUUAGUUAGUUGGUGGGGUAAAGGCCUACCAAGACAAUGAUGCAUAGCCGAGUUGAGAGACUGAUCGGCCACAUUGGGACUGAGACACGGCCCAAACUCCUACGGGAGGCUGCAGUAGGGAAUCUUCCACAAUGGGCGAAAGCCUGAUGGAGCAACGCCGCGUGUGUGAUGAAGGCUUUCGGGUCGUAAAGCACUGUUGUAUGGGAAGAACAGCUAGAAUAGGAAAUGAUUUUAGUUUGACGGUACCAUACCAGAAAGGGACGGCUAAAUACGUGCCAGCAGCCGCGGUAAUACGUAUGUCCCGAGCGUUAUCCGGAUUUAUUGGGCGUAAAGCGAGCGCAGACGGUUUAUUAAGUCUGAUGUGAAAGCCCGGAGCUCAACUCCGGAAUGGCAUUGGAAACUGGUUAACUUGAGUGCAGUAGAGGUAAGUGGAACUCCAUGUGUAGCGGUGGAAUGCGUAGAUAUAUGGAAGAACACCAGU
rnacentral:rRNA from 1 species